rnacentral:rRNA from 1 species
AGAACGAACGCUGGCGGCAUGCCUAACACAUGCAAGUCGAACGAAUUACCUUCGGGUAGUUAGUGGCGCACGGGUGCGUAACGCGUGGGAAUCUGCCCUGGGGUCUGGGAUAACCGUUGGAAACGACGGCUAAUACCGGAUGAUGAUGUAAAUCCAAAGAUUUAUCGCCCUGGGAUGAGCCCGCGUAGGAUUAGCUAGUUGGUGGGGUAAAGGCCUACCAAGGCGACGAUCCUUAGCUGGUCUGAGAGGAUGAUCAGCCACACUGGGACUGAGACACGGCCCAGACUCCUACGGGAGGCAGCAGUGGGGAAUAUUGGACAAUGGGCGAAAGCCUGAUCCAGCAAUGCCGCGUGAGUGAUGAAGGCCUUAGGGUUGUAAAGCUCUUUUACCCGGGAUGAUAAUGACAGUACCGGGAGAAUAAGCCCCGGCUAACUCCGUGCCAGCCGCCGCGGU